rnacentral:rRNA from 1 species
GUGUCAGCAGCCGCGGUAAGACGAAGGAUGCAAGCGUUAUCCGGAUUUAUUGGGUUUAAAGGGAGCGUAGGUGGCCUUAUAAGUCAGCGGUGAAAGACUAGAGCUUAACUCUGGAAUUGCCAUUGAUACUGUAGGGCUUGAGUAUAGUUGCUGUGGGCGGAAUAUGACAUGUAGUGGUGAAAUACUUAGAGAUGUCAUAGAACACCGAUUGCGAAGGCAGCUCACAAAACUAUAACUGACACUGAGGCUCGAAAGUGCGGGGAUCAAACAGGAUUAGAAACCCCUGUAGUCC